CCUUUCAGAUUUCCUCUUCAACUUCCAAGGCAAAAUCCAUUGUUUCUCCUCCCAAUCUAAUUUUUCUUUGUCCAAUACCUUCUCAUCAAUGUUACUUCUUCUCUCAAUUUAAAUUAAAAUAAAACAAAAUAAAUAGCAACCAAAGCAAGAAUACCAAAUCAGAAAAUAGAAAAAUCGACCCCCCUCCUCACGCAUCUCACAUUCAUCUUCUCAAAAUUUCUUCUUUGUUGUGUUUUUCUUCAAACAUCCAGAAAUAAUCGCAGCAACAAAGUAAGAACGAAAAAGCAAUGGAUCAACCACAAAAAAAUCUGCAUCAGAAGAAGAAACGGGUAGAAGCAGAUUCAAAUUCUUAUCCGGAAAGUCAUCACUGACGCUCAAGCUUGGUAGAUCAGUCGUGUUGAAAUUGUCGUGGUAAUUGGCUUGCGAGAAUUUGACAUAUUGUAUGAAAAUGAUUAAGUUCUUGGUAGAGCUAUGGGAUCUUUUGGAGAUGCCAAUUGAUGAGCAAAAAGCAUUUCAGUUUCUCUUUGGUGUUAAAGUGCAAGAAGUAGCAAUGCUGCGUGAGAAAGGAUAUACUUUGAAAGUUCCUCUACAAUUUUCCAGGAUGCUGCGAGAUGGAUAUUUUGGUGAUAAAGACUACUUUGAAUCCUUAUCUGACACGGUUGAAGUUGGUUAAUGAUUUAUAUCUUUUUGGCUCAGAUUUUGGGAGUUAUCUCGAGCCACAUGCUGCAGCUGAUAAAAUAAUCGUUGAACUAGAGAAGUGGAUCAAGAUGAGUAUUCUCUAUGAUGCUGACUCUGAGAGGUUUAGUAGUGACAGGACCAUUCAAGUGUAUGCAGAGAGAACAUGGAAAAUUGAUCCCUGCCAAUACCCUUUUUGAUCUAUAAGGAUCCAUUACUCUAAACUAACUAAUUAGUAAGUGUUUUUGUUUCUAUAUAUGAGUGUUAAUUAGAAAAUUAGUGUUAUUUUGGGAAUUAUGAAAAAAAAGUUUUGACUCUAAUUGAGCAGGUAUCAGGGACCCUAUCACAAUUGCGUUGUUUUGUUGGUUAUUUGCAAAAAAGAAACACAAAUGGGUGAUAAUUAUUGGUAUAUUAGUGAGUGUGACAUUGCUUUCACUUAUUACCUUGAUGGUUUUCAUUCUUAGAAGAAAUAAAGGCUAUUGAAGUAGCAGAAAUUAUCCAAAAAGUUUCUCUAGAAGAUCACUUGCCAAUAGAACCGUUUCUUCUAUGAUGUAUACAUUUUCAUUUGUAUUAUAUAAUUACUAUAUGUAUUCUGUAAUAUAUAGAUUAUACAAUUUUUAUUUGUAUUUUGUAA